rnacentral:rRNA from 1 species
GUGGGGAAUCUUCCGCAAUGGACGAAAGUCUGACGGAGCAACGCCGCGUGAGUGAUGAAGGUCUUCGGAUUGUAAAGCUCUGUUAAUCGGGACGAAAGAGCCUAGUGUGAAUAAUGCUAGGAAGUGACGGUACCGGAAUAGAAAGCCACGGCUAACUACGUGCCAGCAGCCGCGGUAAUACGUAGGUGGCAAGCGUUGUCCGGAAUUAUUGGGCGUAAAGCGCGCGCAGGCGGAUCUGCCAGUCUGUCUUAAAAGUUCGGGGCUUAACCCCGUGAUGGGAUGGAAACUACAGAUCUAGAGUAUCGGAGAGGAAAGUGGAAUUCCUAGUGUAGCGGUGAAAUGCGUAGAUAUUAGGAAGAACACCAGUGGCGAAGGCGACUUUCUGGACGAUGUCUGACGCUGAGGCGCGAAAGCUAGGGGAGCGAACGGGAUUAGAUACCCCAGUAGUCC